rnacentral:rRNA from 1 species
UAACACAUGCAAGUCGAACGGGAUCCCUGGCAGCUUGCUGCCGGGGUGAGAGUGGCGAACGGGUGAGUAAUGCGUGACCGACCUGCCCCAUGCACCGGAAUAGCUCCUGGAAACGGGUGGUAAUGCCGGAUGUUCCACAUGAGCGCAUGCGAGUGUGGGAAAGGCUUUUUGCGGCAUGGGAUGGGGUCGCGUCCUAUCAGCUUGUUGGUGGGGUAACGGCCUACCAAGGCGUUGACGGGUAGCCGGCCUGAGAGGGCGACCGGCCACAUUGGGACUGAGAUACGGCCCAGACUCCUACGGGAGGCAGCAGUGGGGAAUAUUGCACAAUGGGCGCAAGCCUGAUGCAGCGACGCCGCGUGCGGGAUGGAGGCCUUCGGGUUGUAAACCGCUUUUGUUCAAGGGCAAGGCACGGUCUUUGGCCGUGUUGAGUGGAUUGUUCGAAUAAGCACCGGCUAACUACGUGCCAGCAGCCGCGGUAAUACGUAGGGUGCAAGCGUUAUCCGGAUUUAUUGGGCGUAAAGGGCUCGUAGGCGGUUCGUCGCGUCCGGUGUGAAAGUCCAUCGCUUAACGGUGGAUCCGCGCCGGGUACGGGCGGGCUUGAGUGCGGUAGGGGAGACUGGAAUUCCCGGUGUAACGGUGGAAUGUGUAGAUAUCGGGAAGAACACCAAUGGCGAAGGCAGGUCUCUGGGCCGUUACUGACGCUGAGGAGCGAAAGCGUGGGGA